AUUUGUCCAGAUUUACAGAAAUAUAGGGCUUUUAAUUCGUUCAAAAAGACAGAAUCGCCCUCUUCACAUAAACCAUCAACUUUCUCUCUCUUUCUUUCGCUUUAUCUCAUUCGUGAACAAAUUUUUUCUUUCAGAUUGUCAAAUCGUCGUGAAGACAGACUUGCCGGCCGUCGAUGUGCUGGAGGCGGUGUAGUGAUUUUGUUUUUCAGAGGCCAAGGAGGUUGUUGAAAGUGAUCAAGAUGGUGUUGAUGGAGCCUAAUCGUGAGAAGCCAUGGUUGUCAUGGGAAAAGGAAGCGACAGUUUUAAUUGGCGUAGGAGAGAGUAAGGAAGGAGAAGGCCAAAACUGUCUUUGAGCCUAACGCAAAAAUACUUAAUCACAAGAGUCCGAACAAUCAUCCCCAAAUUCUAAUUUUCGGUCCAAUAAAGCAUCUUUUCUAUAAAUACUAGUAUUCGGUCUGCACUACACGCUGGAGUUAGAUUGGGUGUGUUUUGGUUUUUUUUUUUGUAUAUUAUAUAUUUGUUAUGUUAAUUUCUUUUCAUGUUUGGUUUAUGUUUCUUUGGUUUGUUUUUGUUGUUUUUUUUGGUUAUUUUUUUAAAAAAAUUUCCUCGUCUUUGCAUUAAGCACAUUAUAGUGAGAUUUUUUAAAAAAUAAUUAUAAAUAAUGUUGUGUU